ensembl:lncRNA
CGAGUUGCAAUCCACCUAAUGUGUCUGGAGCACCCCCCCCCCCUCUCUCUCUCACCCAGUCGCUAUCUGCUCUCUCUCUCUCUCUCUCCCGUGUCUGUGUGUGUGUGUGUCAGCCCGCAGCUCCGGUAUCGGGAUAAUAACCGGGCUCGGUCCUCAGCACACGUCGCGGAGCAGCAGCUGCUUCUUUAAUCACUCUUCAGGAAAGGGGACAACUUAACCUAACCUAACUGCUGACGUGAGUACAUCGAAUGUCCAACUGUACCUUCCAGCACAGACCCAUCCCUGGGGACGGAAACAUCAGAUUGAAAACACAACCAGCCUUUAAACUGAGAUCUGGCUGUAAGACAGCAGUUCUCAUGGUCACUUGCUGGGCAUGGGGGAACGAGACACCGGAAUGGUGUUCCAGCAGUCAGAGCAUCAUCAAAAAAGCAUUGUCAUACACUGAAGACAGAGCCUGGUGAUUUCCAGCCAUGACUUGUACAGUACACACCACUGUACCUCUUCAAGUAAAGCCACCUAAAAUUGUGCCUGCUAAAAUCUGUUUUAUCCUGCUGUGAGACAUAGUUUUUUCUCUCCGUUCUGGACCUGUUUGUGUCUCAUCUUCAGCUUUCCAAAAUCUCUGCCCCACUUUGCUAACUCUCAGA